rnacentral:rRNA from 1 species
AUGGGCGCAAGCCUGAUGCAGCGACGCCGCGUGAGGGAUGACGGCCUUCGGGUUGUAAACCUCUUUCAGCAGGGAAGAAGCGCAAGUGACGGUACCUGCAGAAGAAGCGCCGGCUAACUACGUGCCAGCAGCCGCGGUAAUACGUAGGGCGCGAGCGUUGUCCGGAAUUAUUGGGCGUAAAGAGCUCGUAGGCGGCCUGUCGCGUCAAUUGUGAAAGCCCGGGGCUUAACCCCGGGUCUGCAGUCGAUACGGGCAGGCUAGAGUGUGGUAGGGGAGAUCGGAAUUCCUGGUGUAGCGGUGAAAUGCGCAGAUAUCAGGAGGAACACCGGUGGCGAAGGCGGAUCUCUGGGCCAUUACUGACGCUGAGGAGCGAAAGCGUGGGGAGCGAACAGGAUUAGAUACCCUGGUAGUCCACGCCGUAAACGGUGGGCACUAGGUGUUGGCGACAUUCCACGUCGUCGGUGCCGCAGCUAACGCAUUAAGUGCCCCGCCUGGGGAGUACGGCCGCAAGGCUAAAACUCAAAGGAAUUGACGGGGG